GAUGAACGCUGGCGGCGUGCCUAAUACAUGCAAGUCGAGCGAACGGACGAGAAGCUUGCUUCUCUGAUGUUAGCGGCGGACGGGUGAGUAACACGUGGAUAACCUACCUAUAAGACUGGGAUAACUUCGGGAAACCGGAGCUAAUACCGGAUGAUAUUUUGAACCGCAUGGUUCAAAGGUGAAAGACGGUCUUGCUGUCACUUAUAGAUGGAUCCGCGCUGCAUUAGCUAGUUGGUAAGGUAACGGCUUACCAAGGCAACGAUGCAUAGCCGACCUGAGAGGGUGAUCGGCCACACUGGAACUGAGACACGGUCCAGACUCCUACGGGAGGCAGCAGUAGGGAAUCUUCCGCAAUGGGCGAAAGCCUGACGGAGCAACGCCGCGUGAGUGAUGAAGGUCUUCGGAUCGUAAAACUCUGUUAUUAGGGAAGAACAUAUGUGUAAGUAACUGUGCACAUCUUGACGGUACCUAAUCAGAAAGCCACGGCUAACUACGU
rnacentral:rRNA from 1 species